GGCCUCCUGGGUACUUACCAAAGGCUGUGUCCUUACACUGACUAUACAGAAAAAGAGGCAGAUUAAACCUAUCCUAUAUACAACUCAGUCCAGGCCCUAUGCCUGAUCUGUACUGUGAAUGGGGGUGGGGGG
ensembl:snoRNA